AUCUUAUUGCUAUAGAUCAACAUCCACUGUCUAAUGCCAUGAGCCAUAUUAUUGCUGAACUUUUGUGUGCGACACUACUACUGGAGUAUUUAAGUUAAAAUCUUAAAUAUUUGCAUAAUCUUUGGCUGAUAGAUGACAUGGGAUUGAGAGCUUGUUUGUCUUGAUUGAAAACGACAAUGAAAAAAUUCUUGUAGUUUCAAUCUGUCAUUCCCUCUUUCUGCAUCAGCUGACGGUAAUGAAAGAGGAGUGGCUGGCUGCUACGGUUGCUUGGAGUAAUACACCACUCAUUGAUUGAAGGACAAAGACAUUGGUGACAUUUGCGUCGGGCUUAUGCUAUACAGGCAGACAGUGGUUUGGUGGAAUUCAAAAUUGCUGACUAAUGUUGAUGUGUAUAGAUUCAGGUUAGGUGUUCUUGGCUUUGAGAAACUGUUGUGGAUAGCAUAGAAUUAUCAGUAUCAGUUAAAAAAGUCGUGGCCAAGUCAUUAUCUGCUAAUUAAGUUUGGCAAGCUGUCCUUUGGCUGUGAUUAAUAGCCAUUCCUUUAUCUUAACCAACUCUUCCUUCAAGAUAAUAUAUGUUACAUGUACGUUGAACAAAUGGUUGAAUUAAAAUGAAAAAGUUUGGAAAUUGUUUCUGUCGGUAGUUUACUUUUCUAUGCUUUCUCAAUUCGUUAAUAUUUUUCGUAGGAUCUUUUAUCAGUUGGACAAUUUGAGAGUUGUGGCCCUAAUAGUAAAUUUAGCCUAAGAGAGUACAGAGCAUGGACUCUCUUAUGUGGAAAAAAAGACUUCACUAUUUAUUCCGCUUGUGUGGGCUUGCUCGUGUUGUUGGUCUCAAGCCUGGAUAAAGGAGGAGUGUUGAGGUAGACUGACCGUCAACAUAAAACUUGUCAAUUUAUGAUGAAUCUUCGUAAUAAAAUUUUUGAGACAGUUAACGUUACUACUAAUUGAAUUGACUUAUUUUCCGGAACAAUGUAAUGGGUGAUUUAAGAUAUUGCAACAGACUGUCUGGCUCUUGUAUUAUAGAAUUUUCAAUUCCAUAUGCAAUUUGAUUA